GUGUCAGCAGCCGCGGUAAUACGGAGGAUCCAAGCGUUGUCCGGAUUUAUUGGGUUUAAAGGGUGCGUAGGUGGAUAAUUAAGUCAGGGGUGAAAGCCUGCAGCUCAACUGUAGAACUGCCCUUGAAACUGAUUAUCUUGAGUGCGGUUGAGGUAGGCGGAAUGUGUCAUGUAGCGGUGAAAUGCUUAGAUAUGAUACAGAACACCAAUUGCGAAGGCAGCUUACUAAACCGUAACUGACACUGAGGCACGAAAGCAUGGGGAGCAAACAGGAUUAGAUACCCCAGUAGUCC
rnacentral:rRNA from 1 species